rnacentral:rRNA from 1 species
AUUGAACGCUGGCGGCAGGCUUAACACAUGCAAGUCGAGCGAGCGGCGGACGGGUGAGUAAUGUCUGGGAAACUGCCUGAUGGAGGGGGAUAACUACUGGAAACGGUAGCUAAUACCGCAUACCAUCAGAUGUGCCCAGAUGGGAUUAGCUAGUAGGUGGGGUAAUGGCUCACCUAGGCGACGAUCCCUAGCUGGUCUGAGAGGAUGACCGGGCACACUGGAACUGGGACACGGGCCAGACUCCUAAGGGAGGCAGCAGUGGGGGAUAUUGCACAAUGGGCGAAAGCCUGAUGCAGCGACGCCGCGUGGGGGAUGAGGGCUUUCGGGUUGUAAAACUCUUGCGCGGGUAGGUGGAGAAGAAGCGCCGGCUAACUACGUGCCAGCAGCCGCGGUAAUAC